GAAUGUUGGCCAAUAGAGAGAGGAGAUGCCACAAUGGAUAGCCUGCUGCAGUGCUGGGGAUGGGACUAGAGGACUGGAUUUGGAGGAGAAGAGGGAGAAUCAAGCUCUGAAGUUCACCUAUUUGCUUGCCUAGCCUACUUGCUUCUUCGACAGGCUUGCCUGGAGGGUUUCUAAAGAAUAUCUGCUGGAGUCAGAGAACUGGAUAAUAGAAUGUGUGAGGAGGCUGGUUGGAGGAGAAUAUCUUCUUGAUCUGUUGGAGAUGCAGGUAUUGAAGAGGGGCAUUCAAUAUGAGGAGGUCUACUACACAUAUGGGAUUGAGACUGAGGGGUUUGACUUUGAAGAGAGAAAAGGAGGCCUAGGCACAGUGGCGAUGUGGCCAAUUUGUCAUGGAUCAAAAAUGACGAAAUCCUGAGCUAAAAUAAGCCAUACUCCUCUAGGCGAUCAUCAUGGUUAAUAUUUUACAUUGAAAAAUCAUCACAGCAUGUCUGGGACUGAAGGUAAAACCCUGCAUAUGAUUAUAUUUAAUUAACAUCAUGACAAAGAUUAUAAUAGAAAGGAUUGCAGCAUCCUUCACAGAGCUUGGGAACACUGCAGAAGAAGGGGAGGAAGCAGAGGCAGGACAUAGAGGGGUAGAGGACACCAAGAGGAUGCAACCCACAGAAUCAGCUAAGCUAAACUCUUUGGGGCACAGAGGCUGAAGCAAGCAGCACUCACUGAGCCUUGCGCGAGCCUCCUCCUGAACUGUGCAUAUAUAUCAUGCUUGUAGUUCAGUGGCUCUUCACUACCUAAAGGCAAGAUAUUCCAUGAAAGCUGCAAUCGUCGAGGAAGGCUGAAGAAGCUAGGUUGCUAUGUCAGAGAAGCGUGCCAGCAGUGAGAACAACAGGGUAGAGGAAUUCAUCAACAAGGAAGGAAGGCAGCCAAGCAAUCUACUUUGCUCUUCCUGAGAACUGCUGAUAUCUGGUCUACCCUAGGAACGGUCCAAGUUUGAACAUUUACAUCACAUUUCCUUUUCUGUUUAUGGCAGAACUGCAGUAGCUAUGUUUUUACCAUGUUCUGAUGAAACUAACUCUGUCUCUGAACAAACUUGGAUAGCAGCAGCAGCAACAACAACAACAAAGCAAAAUGGAGUUGAAGAAGCUGGACCAAAUUAGGGGAGCAGAGAAAACUAUUAGCAGGAAAGGCACAGAUUUCUCACUCCUUGAUUUCUGAGAUUCAUACAUGUAAAUGGAUUACCCUGUCCUAAAUCCUAUACAUGCAUUCCAAGAUCCCCUACAACUAGGACACCUUUGAUCAUCCUCAGGUAAAAGAAUAUUACAGGCCAAUGUUAUUAUUAAAACCCAUACAUCAAUGAGCUUUACUCUGUUUUGACUAAGAAGAAACCACACAUCCUUCACCUUUUAUUGAUUCAUUGCCAGGAAAGGAAAUGCUGGCUGGAUGUCCUAUGCGAGCUAACAAAAAUCAUCAAGCAGGAGAAAUGUAUACGCUAUAUCAGGGUCCUUUCUGCAAAAUCUUGCUAGUGUAUGCAAUGGUAUCAGCGUUUGGAGGCUGAUUAUGAAAUGGAUCUCCGGACAUGGCAGUCUCUAGAUGGAAGGAUAAUGCAGAGACUGUUAAAAGAUUCAGAUUCUCAAUACCAAGCAUCAUAAUGAGGAUGCAAUAUUGUACAUUAAUUAUUCUUGUACCAAUUAUCAAAAUCAGCAAUGCCUACACAAAGGUAGACUUAUUUAUGAAGGAUGUACUAAACAAUAAAAAAUUUAAAAUAUUGCAAGACAUGAUCAUAGAGCACACCACUAUUCCUGAUAAGGCCUGAAGAAGCUUGACCUACUUCUACAAAAUGAGGAACGUUGAGCCCUACAAGGAAGAUCUUUGAAGAACCGGGACCCUCAGAGUCAUUUAUGAAUCAACUUUUAUCAUUCAUUCAAUAUAUUUAUGUAUGAAAAAUCGAUUGGUGGGCAGCUGGACACUUGAUUCUGGUUACAUCCUUCUGUGCAUAUUCUUAAAAGAAGAGCCAAGAAACUAUUAUGAUAAAAACCAGUGGUAUGAUACAGGUAUUCCCCAAAGCCUGGCUUGGGCAUGGUUUCCCAGACAUGAGAUUCUCUGUAUACUCAUUUACUGAAGCUCCCUGUUCGGCUGCUUUCUGUACUCACACUGUCUGCUCGGCAAGCACAGAGGCCAUUUCUUUAUCUCUUUUCUACCUACCUAAUCCAAGAAGCUACCAGGAUUUACAGCUUUAUAAAAUUGUCCUUUAACUUCCAUUCUAAAAAUUUUGAUUGGCAAGAGAAAUGACUCAAAAGAGGUGUCCUGCAGAAUAUAAUUAGAGAAGGAUAUAAAUGGAUUGGACAAAGAAGUCACACCAUGCCUUGUGUGAAACAGAACUCUGUGCUCCUUACUCUUUGGUGUUCAUUGUCAGAUUAUAAAUCAAGAUACUGGCAUAAAAGCUUUGUCUCAGACACGGUAGUAGACAGAACCAAGACUAACCCAGAGACCAACUAGUCCAAGGAUAUAUAGCAUCACUGACAUUGAAGACAGUUAAAGAUAAAGGCAUCCCAUUAUCACAGUGUGGAGGCUGGAACCUUGCUUGAAGAGGUCUGGAAACUGCUGCUAAUCCAUUGUCCUUGCCUCAGGCCUGGUGCCAGGCAGCUUCUGAGGUCUGGACUUGACUGGGAUUGCCCAGUUUUUGGAAACAGAGAUUUAAGCCCAGUCUUUUUAACUGCCAGUUUGAAACCUGUCAUGAAAUCAACCUAGCCUUCUGAGGAAUGCUACAGUUAUCAGCUCAUAUGUAGCCAUUUAUCUGUAAAUCUGACAUACAAACAAGCCUGCAAUAAAUAUUAGCCU
rnacentral:lncRNA from 1 species